UCAGUCCGAAGCAUGCCGCAGUAUUCUGACUGUGCUAAGGUAGCAUAAUAAUUUGCCUUUUAAUUUAAGGCUAGAAUAAAAGGCCUGACGAAAGACCCUCUGUCUCUGUUUAUUGCUUAACUUUAUCGGAGGGUAAAAAAGCCUUCCUUGUAUAGAAAGACGACAAGACCCUAGAACCUAUUAUUUACUUUGUAAACUACCCUGCUAAUAGUCUUCAAACCCUAUAAUUUGCUGGGGCGGCAAAAGUUUUUACAACUUUACUUGUAACAUAUUGAAUGGUGACAAAACAACCCGGGCGAAUUUAAUCAGGUACUCUAGGGAUAACAGCACACUUCACUUUUAGAGCCCUAAUCGACAAGUGUUUUGUGACCUCGAUGUUGAAUUGAGCUCUCUAAUUUAAGCAGGUUAACUCCAGA
rnacentral:rRNA from 1 species